UCUGAAAAAAAUCUUACUUUCACAUUGCCUUAUGAAUGGCAAAAGCAAUUUGGAGCUGAUUUUCAAGAAAUGUUUCAGUGCCACUUCCCCCACAUAACGAGACUUACUACCUGUUCAAAGAAUGUGAAGAGGGGAAAAGAGUUGAGGUUUCCAUAGUAACCUUUAGUAGUCCAAAGUAAAAUUGCAUAAAAUGAAAUCAUUAUCACUCAGCAACUAAAGAAGACAGCUCAGCUGAUGAAGAUCCAAGUUGUAAAUGACUGCCGCAAAUCCUGGUGAAAUUCUUGGAGGAAAACCAAUCACAACAGAAACAAAUAUUGGUCUUGCAGAAACACAAGGAAUCAGCUUCAGGAAGACUGUCUAUUUCAUGUAGAGACUUCUGCCUUGGAGAAAUAGAGAGGAAGGCUUGAUUAGUAAGGAAAAAAACCCUCUCACAAACUGAAGACUGCCUAACUGGGCAGCUUUUAUGCAUUACCCACUGCUGGUUAGCUAAGCACAGGUUACAAAAUCCAGAAAAGAGCACGUGCGUCAGUCACAAUGUCUGCCUGAGUCAAGCAGAACAAAAUCUGUGACAUUUCAACCCAGCUGAGAUUCUGAGGAGAUUAGACUGAGCAACACUAUGGUGGACAGGAUUUUUUUUCCAGUUCUUGAUAUGAAUCGGAGAAAUAAGAGUACUGUUCCUCUUGAAGCUUCAAAUGUAAUGCAUUGAUCUUUUUCACCUUUGCUACAGUUGAAUGUUUCCCUACACAUAGAGGAAUCUCACAGGAAGUGAUGCAACUGUUUUGUGCUAAAAUGGAAGCUGUAAUACAAAAGGCAACAUUAGUUCCAGAAUGGAGUCAAACAGGUUACACCAAGAAUGACUGCUGUGGAAGGAUGAUGCAGAGAAGAAAUUAACAAGCUGCUCAGUCUUGUCCUAUCAUCAUCUGUCGGCCAUUGCAACACUUGAAAAAUAAUCUCUAGGACACAAAUAUGUCUCAGCUUGGUCAGUGAAGAGAAGAAUGGCCUAGGACUUGAUUCAACAAAAUAUCUGCUGCUCUUCUCAGAGGCUAGAUCAUGGUGAUGAUAAUAAUUUUCUGGAAUGUGGCUGAUUCCCUGGAUCUUCCUUCUUGACCCUCAGGAAGACAGGAGGCAACUGAGUUGAACCCCAGAUGCCAGAAAAAAUGGCACAAGAUGAACUUUUAUUAAGAUGAUCUACUUAUUAAGAAGUAAUGAGAUAAAGGAUUUAUUUUAAAAUACAAAUCUUUCAAACUAAUGAAAGCUUCAGUAUCUGUUUCACCAGGUCCUCAUUGCUUCAUUUUGAUCAGACAACCACAUUUCAAGAAGAGAUUAUCAGCACAAAAUAACUGAGUCCUACAAAAGAAGUGGACAGCAGAAAUUAUUCUCAGCAGCAGAUGGGAACGGACUGAAGUGAAAAGGAAGCUAUCUGGUGGAAGAUUCAUAUUCUGUUGAUUCCAGACAGGAGAGUGGGAUAGUGGAUUCUUCCUUUUGUGCUCCUUUGAACGCUUUUCAUUCAGUCCUUUUUUCCUUGCUAGUCCUGCAGGCAUAAAUGAAGAGAUAAAAUAAAGCCUCAGUAAUACAGAACACCAAAAGAUAAAUUCUCAUCCCUUUUUUCCUGAAAAUAUAGGAUCAUA